rnacentral:rRNA from 1 species
CUGAUCUCAAAUCAGGNAGGACUACCCGCUGAACUUAAGCAUAUCAAU